ACAAAGAGCAAAAAGUUUUUUCUUUUGGAGAUACACCGAAAUAUUAAAGAAAUAUUCAGAGAGCGAGACAACAUUGGUUGUGAUGGCUGAACGUUUUUUCCUGCUACUAGUCACCCGUGAGGCACGGAGCAGCCGCGUGAGCACAUUUUGACCAGAGGUCAGGUCCUUUUAGCGGGAACCUAAACUUCCUGGAGCUGCAUUCGAAUAUCGUUGGAUGUUGAUGCUGGAACUGGCGUGAACAGGAAGUUGGGGGAGGCACUCAAUGGUAGGGCGUCACUGCACUUACUCAGUACUUCCUCUACAGCUCUCUGUGUAGAAAAAUUGAGUUUUCAGUUACCAUGGCAUUCACAAGGUCCAAGGAGGACGACACUAAUUCAGUAUACCCCAGCUUUAUCCAUGCAAAACACCAAGACAAGCUUAAGCUACAGAAUGGUAACAGAGAUGGGACAGGACAAGGAUUCACUAUUGUGAAUAGCACAUCUUUACCUCAACCACUUUGACCAACUCGACCAGGUCAAUUUGGCGUGACUCCACAGGCUGGGGGAUCUCAAGACUGCUCUGCUUUGCAUCCUCCAGUAAAGGCUCAACUGCGAGAAAGCAUGGAUUUGCCAGGUCAAGCGUCUGAGCCUGAGGAACUGAGAGAUGAUCUACUAGUGUGAUUUAUGCUGAUGGAAUUUACCUCUGGAUCGCUUCUUUUGUAGCAGGAAGGGUAAAUACCAGUGACCUCAGCAGACCAGCUAAUCAUCCACAUCCCACCAGUUUGCAAGUGGACCAACCUUUGUGAAGAACUUGUGGCCACGGAUAUUCUGCGAUGACGGGCGAUCCUGUGGGUCGAUUUGAAAUAUUUUGCCCAUCAGUUUCCCAGCUUCAAUACCGAGGUUCUGGGGUAGAAUAAAUUUAGCUUCUUUGAUGUUCUUUAUCAUUUCACAGCGAUCGUCGUGAUCGAAUGGGAUUUCCCCAACCAGAAGCUGGUACCUGUAGUAAGAAAGGCAGCAAAGGUGUUUGAGGUCUUUCACAUUUGACAUAAAAAUGCUGUGCUUCCAAAAGAGCAAUUCCUCUCAACUGUGUGCCAGUAUUCAUUUUUCUUUUCUAUUUCAAGUAGAAAAAAAAAACAUAUUUAUGUAUGUUAGACGCAUGUCUUCUUAAAAUGUUAGACAGAUUUUAUUAGCCAUGCUGAUCUUUGGCCGGGAGGAGGGUUGAUAGGGUAUA